rnacentral:rRNA from 1 species
UACAGAGGGGGCAAGCGUUGUUCGGAAUUACUGGGCGUAAAGGGCGCGUAGGCGGCCUGUUAAGUCGAACGUGAAAUCCCCGGGCUCAACCCGGGAACUGCGUCCGAUACUGGCAGGCUUGAAUCCGGGAGAGGGAUGCGGAAUUCCAGGUGUAGCGGUGAAAUGCGUAGAUAUCUGGAGGAACACCGGUGGCGAAGGCGGGUCUCUGGGCGAGUAACUGACGCUGAGGAGCGAAAGCAUGGGGAGCGAACAGGG